GAAUUGAGUCUGUAAAUGACACCUUAGUAAUGAACUACAGUAAAGUUAAAUUCCAUAAUGACAUUGGUGGCAUUUAUAAGGAUAGGGUUAAAUAGUGCAGUCCCUUUUGCCAUCAUGAAUCGUCCUCUUCCUCCGACCACCGCAAGCCCUGGUUCUCCCCUUGAAAAUACGCUUAGAGAGCUGCCGUUAAACUUACCGGUAUUAAAUCCAAAUUCUAUGUACUGCGUGCUCGAUGCAUUUGAUCCGGCUAAGAGGGAAAUACCCUGAACAUUUCCAAUCACCUCUGAGUCAGGCUCAGGACCAGUCCUGAGGGGAUCAUUAACAGCAACUAGGGUGGCAAAUGUCACUGAUGAAUUAUUGCUUGUGAUGUUAGCUUGGGUUAGCACGACUGCUGUAACACCCGUAUGUUCGUGCAUAAAGAAGUGAAGAUUGGUGACCUUAGGUGGCUUGGGAUGAUAUGGUCGGGUAUCUGAGUAGUAUUGGCUCCGAACUGCUACUUGGGAGAGGCAGAUGAUCAGAAUCCAACUCAACAUCAAUGCUCCUUUCAUUGUCUCUGUUUUACUAUAAUUUCUGGGGCGAAAUGUAGAUGAAAACUAUAGAAUUGUUGCUUCAAUUUUAUUAGGAAGACAGAAAGAUUUAUAGUGAUAAAACCCGCAGACAUGAACAUAAUUUGUUGUCCCAAACAUUUUAUAUAAUACAUGAUUGAUUUCGCCGUGGCAAUAUUAUAAAGAACACAAAUCCUGAUCACGCAACAGAAACUUGGCCUAAUUAUUUUAGAUUGGAAGUUUCCUCCUCCUGCGUUUCUGUUUUCGUGUGAAUAUUGUCCAUUGACUUUAAUUUAUUUGAUAUUAUAUAUUCCAUGUGAUUGAUGUGUUGAUUUUAUAAAUUAUUUUAUCUUCUGCAAACAAAUGUUUGUUUGAUGUGAAAUCUCUUUUUUUUUUUUUCUUUCUAAAUCUCCUUCAGAAAUUAACGGCGAAUCUAGAAAUCAGAAACAUGGUCUAAUUAGCUGCUGGCUCUAAUCAAUUUUCUUUGUUUUUUACGCAAAGCAGGUUGUGGAAUUCACUACCACCGUUCUGCCAAUUUUUCUCUUUUUUCUUGAGUAAUUAAAACUUUAUUCUGGCUUGGGGACACUAAUCAAUCCGAGAGAGAACUGUGAUGCUUUCAAUUUUGCCUAAAUCUUCCACACUCUUGCAACACUUUAUUGGAAUUUGUUAAAUUUGGAACUGAAUUGUGUGCUAAUACAUGUCUCAUGGAAUUUGACAUUUUCUAUACUCGCUUAGACAAAUUGCUCAUUUGAAAAAACGAAAAAGAAAAAAAAAAGAAGUGAGAACAGAACUGAUAGCUUAAAUUAUGAGUAAGAACUUGUGUAUUGUGACGGUUGUUUGAAUUGUUAUCGCACUUCGCGUCAAAAGCUCUAGUACUGUUUCAAGUCAAUAAAUUACUCUAAUCACGGUGCCAUAAGAGAGAUAUAUUGAAUUGUGUAAUCAUCUUGAGUUGUCAUUUCAUUUUAUGUUAAAAGAUUCGACAACAUCUUAAACAAAAAGAAAUAAAUAAAUGUCUGUGCGAGUCUAAUUGAAUAAGUCCAUGGAAUGAAAACAUUUUCCGGGAUAUUGUUACAUGACUCGAAUGAUUGAACAAAAGGUGUGCUUGAGAACAAGCUUUCUUCAAGUCAGCCGGAGGAGGUCUGUCAUCCGGUGUGAGUGAGCAAUAUUGUUCAACAAAGUGAUCUUAGAGGGUAAGGGUGGAGUCACCAUGUCUAAAAGUUAUAAAUUUUUUAACCAUAUAAGUAAACGUGUAAGAAAAACACAUAAUACAUCAAAUAAAUAAUCUUAAUCGCGAUACAUAAAAUAAAAAAAAAUGAUUUAAGAUCAUACACACACAUUGUUUUAAAUAAUAUAAAUGUCGAUUCCCACACAAUAUCUUCAAAACAGGAAAAAUAUAUUACACUAAAAUAAUAUAGUUGAAUGUUUGAGUGUAUAAAUUAAGAAAAAUUUUAUUAAUGUUUUAUUCCAUAUGAAAGAAAGAAAUUGUAGUAAGCUGAAAAAUUUAACACAUUUGGCCUAUAGUUGGAGACUAGAAAUUCAAAUUUAACUUCUCCUUAUUGUGAUUUAACUUUUGUUAAACUUAACUUAAGCUUCAAUUUAAUCCCAGAAAUUCAACAGAGUCUAGAUUGGAAGUUUCCUCCCCCUGCGUUUUGAUUUUCGUGUGGAUAUUGCCCUUUGACUUUAAUUUAUUUGAUAUUACAUAUAAUAUAUGAUUGAUGUAUUGAUAUUAUAAAUUAUUCUAUUUCUGCUAAGAAAAGUUUGUUUGGUAUGAUCAAGUCUCUUUCCAAUAUAAUCAACUCCGACAUAAGAAAUUCAUUAGAAAUCAGAAACAUGAUCUAAUUAACACCCAAUUGAGAAAUUUAUAUCAAUUUUCUUUGGUUUUUGCGCCAACCAGGUGGUGGCCCAUUUUUUAAAUUAUUAUUUAAUUAAUUAUAAUUAAUUAACUUAAGUAUAAUGCGAGAAAUAAAUUUAAAUAAUUAUCAUGGAUUUAUUAAAUAAGACAAUUAAAUAUAUUUUUCUUACAAAUUUAUUAAAUAACUUUAAUGGAAUUAUAAUUGGGUUGAAAUAUAAUUUAAUUAAGAAAAUAAUUUAAUUAAUUUAUAUAUUUAAGAAAUAUAAAAUAAAUAUUAGGUUAUAUAAAUUAUAAGUGUUGGAUAAAAAACCCAAAUUAGGUCUAGUUAAUGGAAGGGAUGGCAAGCCUUAGUAUUUUCUAGGCCAUGCCACCGCCCCCACCUAUUCUACUUCAAGUAGAAUUUUUAUUUUCUAUUAAAAUAUUAUCAUUCGAUUACCCUUUAUUCAAAUAGAUCUCUUGUACUGUUUCUUUAUAAUUAGGGACUACGAGCUAAACUAUUCAUACAAUUUUGAGAGUAUUGUUAUUUUGUCAAAAAAUAGUGACAAUUUUUUUAGAAUAAAUUCUAUUUUUUGGGAAAAUCUGAUAGUUUCCAGUUUAUAGAGAGAAUUAACAUUCUCAUUGAAAGUUAAGAAAUGUUUUCAUUCUGUGCAUUUGGUUCUAUUUUGAGAGCUCAUACUCAAAGCAAUUCAGGGUUUGAGGAUAGCGAAGAAGGUCAUUCACUAGAAAGUCAGGAUUGACUUAGACUACCUCGUACAAAACAUAGGUAUAAAUUUGGUUAAAGGUUUAUUGUUAUAAAUAUCACCAGGCUUGAUUUUAAGUAAAAUUUUAAACUUCCGUUUUGCCUAAAAACUUAGUUUUCUAAACCCAUUUUUACAACAAUUGUGUGGUGUAUAGUUGGAAGAAUCGAAACAAUCCGUAAUUGUCAUAUUCAGUGUGUUGAAGAACAAACUAAUGUGACCAAUUGAGUAAAUGAUUGGAUUUGUCAAGGGAAUUAAUGAUAGAUUUUAAACGACUCACACAAUUGAGACCUUUGAUUCAAGUCAAUUCUAUCUUGUUCGCAUGGUUAAUGAGGAACUAAAUAGUGGAAGUUGAUUUUAGGUUAUUCGCUUGGUAAGGGUUACUUGUCAAAUCGUUCUCACAUUUAAUUUACAUACAAAAAGGUAAGUCGCGGUUAGAAGUUGCUCCUCAAUCAUUAUAAUUGACUUAUCGGUUGGAGGAGAAAAUCUAUUGUCGUGCAUCAACUAAAACCAAGGCCAAAACUAUUCUUGAAGUUAGAGCGUUGUUUCAUCAGUUUACUCAAUUUUAAUCCCUCUCUUCUAUUUUUCAUAUAGUUCGACACAUGUCGUGGGCAUGAAAGUUGCCUACCACACGUUCUGGUUAAAAUGAACAUCAAUUUAUUCUGUUAUAUUAGCAUUAUGGAAAUCUCUGGGAUACCUGGUCUAUUCCGCUGUUAUACUCGCUAUUAUAUUCUCCGUUGAAUACAGCAGUCGGAAAGUUAAUUUCUCUCUAUGAAAAAUCGAAAAGCUUUGAGAUUUAUAGAAAAUAGGAUUUAUUCUUGUAAAUAUCUCUUUUUUAAAGAAAAUGAUGACAAAAAGAAUUAAUUUUUUAAUGAUGUUGGUAUGGCAAUCCACACGUAAUUUAUAUUGUCAUGAUAUUUUUUGUUUUAUAUGCCAUGUCAACAAAUAAUUUAAAAAUUAUAAAUUAUAAAAAAAUUAAUACAAAAUAUAUGUGGAUUGCCCUGCGCGCUGUGAUGUUUAAAAAUAGUUAGUAUUUCCAUAAACAAAAAAAAAAAAUUGACUCUUCUUGAAAGGUUUGUGGUCAAAUUUGAUUCCUUUUAAAAGGUUGCGGCUCAAAUUUAGCUCAAAAAUGAAAUAAGAGUUAAAUUGAGUAAAACACGUCAACAUUGAGAACUAAAUUUGACAUUACGCCUUGAUUUAUCAAUCUAUUAAAGGCCUAAGUAUUGUGGAAUAUGAACUUAUCGAAUCAGACAAAUUUGGUAUCAAUAAAAACAAUAAAGCUUUUCUCUCUAACUUUGUUCAAACUUUGGCGGAGACAUUCUCUAGUAAAGAUCUUGCUGAUCUGAAUCAUUUCUUGGAAGUUAAAGUCAUUCCAACAUAUCAAGAUUUAUUCAUCUCAACACAAGUAUAUAGAUGUUAUGAUAUAUUGAGCAAAAUCAACAAAUAAUUGUCAAGUGCCAAGGAAUCAAAUACACCAAUGUCUACUUUAGUUUGUUUAAGUUUUCAUGUUGGUCAAGUUUUGCAUAAAGCAGCCUCUAUCAGAGAUGAAGAUAAAUACUGAAUAGAUAUAUUUAUAUGCCUUUUUGUAGCUAAGAAUUUAAUCUUUAUUUGUAAUAUAACAGUAAAGUACAAUGAUCAAGUAUGAGAAUUUUAAGUUUUAAUCAAAUCAACAUAUAUAUAUAUAUCAUACACUUAUUCUAAUCAAGUGGAGCAUAAUCAUACGACUUUUUCACAUUAAUCCAAGAGAAAUGAGUCUGUAAAUAACACCUUAGUAAUGAAUUACAGUAACGUUAAAUUCAGCAAUUGUAUUGGUGGCAUUUACAAGGAUAGGAUUAAAUUGUGCAACCCCUGUUGCCAUCAUGAAUUGUCCUCUUCCUCCGACCACCGCAAGAUCAGGUUCUCCCCUUGAAAAUACGCUUAGAGAGCUACCGUUAAACUUACCAGUAUUAAAUCCAAAAUCUAGGUAUUCCGUGCUCGAUGCAUUCAUUCCAGCCACUGACGCAAUACCCUGAAUAUUUCCAAUCAACUCUGAGUCAGGCUCAGGACCAGUCCUGAGGGGAUCAUUAAUGGCAAAUAAGGAGGCAAAUGGCAGUGAUGAACUAUUGUCAUUGCUUGUGCUGUUAGCUUGGGCUACCACUACUAUUGUAACACCCGUAGUUCUGUGCAUAAAGAAGUUAAGAUUGGUGACCUUAACUGGCCUGGGAUGAUAUGGUAGGGUCUCCGAGUAGUAUUGGCUCUGCACUGCUACUUGGGCGAGGCAGAUGAUCAGAAUCCAACUCAACAUCCAUGUUCCUCUCAUUGUCUCUGCUUUACUAUAACUUCUGGGGAAAGCUAUAGAAUUGUUGCUUCAUUUUUAUUAAGAAAACAGAAAGAUUUAUACUGAUAAAACCUGCAGAUAUGAAAAUAAUUUAUUGUCCAUAACAUUUUAUAUAAUACCUGCAUGAUUUCUCACUAGUAAUAUUAAAGACAAAACAAAUUUUGACCAGGCAACACAAACUUGGUCUAAUUGGCUGAUUGAUUUUUUAAAAAAGGAUAACUUCACGUAAACACCAUUCUGCCUAUAAAAUUAAAUGAUCCACUUGCUUUAAAUUAAUUUGUGGAUUGGAAGUCUCCUACCCUGCCUUUUUUAUUUUCGUUUGAAUGGUUUGUAUUGUCCAUACAUCUGAUUGAUGUGCUGAUGUUAUAAAUUAUUUUAUUUUAUAAUUUUGUGGAUUGGGUCCACUUAAAUAAAGGUUGAAGAUAACCAAAAAUAAUAUUAAUGUUCUUAGGUAUCAUUAAGUAAAAUAAUAUUGUGUUACUAGGAGGGCAACAACACUCCCUCUCGAGCCUUGGGUGUUGCCCAUCACACAUUGGAUGAGCUUAUUGGGCCUAUCUCAUAUAUUGUACAUAUAUCUAAAUAUUUAAUCAACCCAUAUAUUUUAGUUAACUUCAUAAAUAAUUUUUUAUUUACUUAAUUAAAAAAAAUUAAUUAAUCUAUUUAAUUAAAUUAUUUUCUCAACCCAAUUAAAUAUUUGAGGUAAAAUUUAUUAUUAUACCAAUAAAAAAUUGUCACCGUCAAUGAUUUAACGGAGUGAUGACCAAAAUAUUAAAUUUCAAUAAGGUGACUAAAAUAGAAAAUUUUAAACUUGAGUGACCAUAAUUGAAACACACUAAGAAUUAGGUGACUAUUUUUUAACUUUACCAUUGUUGUACUAUGAUAAGAACAAUCGGAUUUGGCAGGGCAUAUAGAGUUAAAAAUUGUCACAUAGCCUACAUAAUUUUUCUAUACAUUAAUGCUUAAAAUACUCAUAAACCCCCACGCUCGUAAAUUGGAGAUAAAAGCACUUAAAGUGUUUGAACCCACAUCCUACUUAUUGUUGCAACAACAAUAGUAACACUUGAGUUAAAGAUCAAUUAGCCAUGCUUCUUUUUCUUUUAAAGUUGCAUAACAAGUGGUUAAAAUCUAAACAAUGAAUCAAACCCCAAAUUUGUGGUCUAUUGAUUGACUGCCUAUUUUCUAUAAAAAUAGCCUAAAUUCGAGUCAUCUAUGCACCUAUAACAAAUGAUUAAAAUCUAAAUAAUGAACCAAACCGCAAGUUGUGAUCCAUUGAUCGAGUGUUUAUUUUCUAUAAAAAUAGCCUAGAUUCAAGUCAUCGAUGUGCCUAAAGAAAACGUCUAAACGGAGAUCCAAAGUUUUGUAUUUUUCAAAAAUAUUAGUUAAGCGCAUAUCCCUAUUAUACUCAAGGUUAAAACAUAUAUGGAGUCUAAUAAUUAAAAUUUUUUAAUAAGUUUUUUUUAUAAAAUAUUUAAAAAAAUUGUAUUAAUUUAUUUAUGAGGAUAGUUUAGUUCAUCAAUUUAAAUUGAUCAAUAUUUUAAAAUUAAUAUUAGAAUGAUAUUUUGGUCUAUCAAUUUUAAGAGUUAAUUUAAAGCUUACUCAAGAAACAGAUGAAAAGGUGAGUUAAAGAUGAAAUGGAUCAUACUAAGUGUUGGGUAUAGCGGUAAGAUACAUUAUAUUUUUAAGGGAAAAUACAAAAUUAAAUUUUGGAGAUGACAUUGUUAAGACGGACAACAACGAACCUUGAACAUGGACUUAAAAAAAACAAGAGGAAUACAAAAAAAAAAAAAAGAACAAAUAGGUCACAAGCAUGGUGUGUUUCAAUGUACAGUUCCGAGUUUAUCAAUAUUUUUAGUUUUACAUAUAUAUUUAUUGUUUAAUUUUUAGAUUUUCUUUUUGUAAAUUAUAAUAUAUAUUCAAGUAAGUAUAUCUUACAUGCAUAAAUAUGUUUAUAUCAAAAUAUAAGUUUUAAAAUUACUAAUUAGGUUUAAUAAAUUAAUUUAAUAAUUGUAUUUUAAGUUUAAAUGUAAAAUUUAAAUUGUUUAAUAUAAAAUAAAAUAAAAUUUAGGUUUAAAGUAUUAAAAUUUUAUAUUGAUGUCCACUAAAUUAAUUAAUAAAUUUAAUAAAUUGGUUAAAAUAAUUGUACCUAUCAAUUAAUAGUAUAAUUAUAACGAGUGAUUUGUCAUAAUUAAUGUCUCAAGUAAGAGUAUUCUCGGCGAGCUUGCUUUGUAGCUAAGAAUUUAAUCUUUAUUUGUAAUAUAACAAUAAAGUACAAUGAUGAAGUAUGACAAUUUUAAUUUAUUCUCGUACAUUUAUUCUAAUCAAGUGGAGCAGAACCAUGACAUUUUCACAAUCGAUGAGAAUUGAGUUUGUAAAUAGCACCUUAGUAAUGAACUACAGUAACGUUAAAUUCAAUAAUGACAUUGGUGGCAUUUAUAAGGAUAGGGUUAAAUAGUGCAACCCCUCUUGCCAACAUGAAUCGUCCUCUUCCUCCGACCACCGCUAGCCCAGGUUCUCCCCUUGAAAAUACGCUUAGAGAGCUGCCGUUAAACUUACCGGUAUUGAAUCCAAAAUCAAUGUAUUGUGUGCUCGAUGCAUUCAUUCCAGCCAGGAGCGCAAUACCCUGAACAUUUCCAAUCACCUUCGAGUCAGGCUCAGGACCAGUCCUGAGGGGAUCAUUAACGGCAACUAGGGAGGCAAAUGGCACUGAUGAAUUAUUGCUUGUGAUGUUAGCUUGGGCUACCACGACUGCUGUAACACCCGUAUGUUCGUGCAUAAAGAAGUGAAGAUUGGUUUCCUUAGCUGGCUUGUGAUGAUGUACUGGUCGGGUCUCCGAGUAGUAUUCGCUCUGCACUGCUACUAGGGAGAGGCAGAUGAUCAGAAUCCAACUCAACACCAAUGUUCCUCUCAUUGUCUAUGCUUUACUAUAAUUUCUGGGGAGAAAUGUAGAUGCAAGCUAGUAGAAUUGUUGCUUGAUUCUUUAUUAAGAACACAAACAUUUAUACUGAAAAUACCCGGAGACAUGAAACUCAUUUAUUGUCCAAAACAUUUGAUGCAAUACGUGCUUGAUUUCUCACUAGUAAUAUUAAAAACAAAACAAAUUUUGACCAGGCAACACAAACUUGCCCUAAUUGGCUGCUUGAUUUUUAAAUAGGAAUAUUUGUGUUUUUGGAUACAUAUAAAUACGAAUUGUCUUCACUUAAUAAUUGGAAUGGCUUAAAGAGCAUUCUGCCUAUAAAAUUAAAUGAUCCACGUGCUUUAUAUUAGUUCUAGAUUGGAAUUUGGAAGUUUCCUCCCCCGCGUUUUUAUUUUCGUCGUCGGUUUUCGUCUUUUUCACAUGUUAUUGAUGUGUUGAUUUUAUAAAUUAUUUUAUCUUCCGCAAUUCCCUUUAGACCAAAUAACUUCAUUCUAAUACUGUCCUUGCUCAUAUAUUAAUCCACGUUUAAUAAAGUAAAAACAAAUUUAAUCCAACAAAUGUUUAUGCAUAAUUAAAUAAAACACAUGUUAAAGGAUGGUAUCUGAAUAUUUAAUCAAAACUCAUAUAUUUUAAUCAACCUAAAAAACAAUUUUCUAUUUUUCAAAAUAUUAUUUUUUUAUUUUUUUAUUUAUUUAUUUUCUCAAUUGAAUUAAAUAUUUGAGGUCCAAAUUUGUUAUUAAAAUUUGGUAACGUGACUAAAAUAGACAUCACCAUUAGUGAUUUAACGGAGGCGUGACCAAAAUAUUAAAUUUCGAUAACAUGACUAAGAUAAACGUUUUUAAACGUGAGUGGCCAAAAUUGAAAAAUGGUAAUAAUUAGACGGUCAUUUUUAGAGUUUACCCUUGUUGUAGUAUGAUAAGGACUUUUGAAUUUGGCGGGGCAUAUAGAGUUAAAAAUGGUCACAUUGUGUACGAAAUCUUCUUUAUAUAAUUUAUUCAUAAACCUCCCACACUCAUAAAAUAGAGGAUAAAAACACUUGUACGCAUGCUCAAACCCAAAUCCCGUUUAUUGUUGCAACAAUAAUGACAACUGAUCAAACCCAACGUUGUGACCAAUUAACCAGAUGUUCAUUCUCUUUAGGAAUAGUCUAGAUUUGAAUAAUCGAUGUAUGAAAAAAAGUUGUAAACAGGAAACCAAAGUUCUAUACGUCGAAACCAUUUUUUUUGAAAAGAAACGGGGUCGACUUUGAUUUUGAAAAUGAAAACGAACACGGGAGUCGCCACCAAUCCUUUUUAAUGAGGUGUGAUCGGGUCACCUCGCAAUUUAAUCGUUUUAAUAAAUAGUUUGAUUUAUUAAAACAUUAUUUUUUAGUCUACAAAAAAUCCAGAAAACGGAUUCGGGAGUCAGUUACGCACGAGGAAGGAUUAGCACCCUCGAUACGUCCAAAAUUGGUACCUAGUUGAUUGAUUAGUGUCUUAAUAUAAAAAUGUGCAAAUAUUUUAAAAUACGAUCCUUGUAUUUAAAAAACUUGUAUAAAUCAAAUUACCCGUUAAGACCCUCUCAUUUCGGAGAGAGAAAAUGUCACACCCAAUGAGUUAGGGCAUGAUAUUUCACCUCCUCAAAAAUGAGCUUGUCCUAAAAAAACUCAUGCAAUAAAAUUUAAAAGGAUAUUCAAUUGUUUAAGUCAGAUGAAGAAAUUGCAGCCCAAUACGUUGGGGCACAAUUUCUCAAAAUUUCAAACAUUGAAUAUUGCCUUUAUUAUUUUUUAGAAAAAUCCUCAUCUCGGGAAAAAAAAACAUGUCAUAUCCAAUGCGUUAGGACACAACGUGUUGAAUUCCCAAUACGAGAAUACAUACCGAAAAAUUUACUUAUUUGAAAGACAUUCGAUUACCUCAAUUUUAGAAAAGAUCAUAUUCCGUAAGUUAGAACACGAUCUUUUAUUAAUUCCCGAGAUUAUAAAAAACUUAUCUUUAAAAAGAUUCGUGUAUUUGGAUUUAUUGAGGAAAAUCGAAACCCCGUAAGUUAGGGCACGACUUUCUCAAAUCUCAAAAUACGUAGCUUUACUCAUUUUAAAGUCAUGGUUUAUGCAUCAAAUAAAAUUAAUCUAACGUGAAAUGGUAGAAAUAAAACACGGUGUUAAUAUGCGUAACAAAACAAUAAUGAAUAUGACAAUGUGGACAUAAAUAAUACGAGCAACAACAACAAAAAUAAGAUACAUCAAUAAAAGGACAAAUCAAUUAUAUAUAAAAAAACAAGUAAACAAACAAAUAGAACUAAAACAUUUUUUAUAAUAAUAAUAGACACAUAAAUAAAUGAAUGAAUAAAUAUUAAGUAAAACAAUAAUAAUAAAGAAAAUAAAUAAAAAAUGAUAACAGUUUUAAAUGCUAGAAUAUCAUUAAAUAAUAACUAUGUACUUAAAAAAAUAGUAAAAAUAUAAUAAUAAAUAAAACAAAUAUAUAUAUAAAACGAAAAAUAUAUAUAUAAAGAAUAAUAAUAAUUCAAAUUUAUUAAUUUUAAUAAUAAAAUAACCAAAAUAGCGAAAAAGGACUAAAUUAAAUUUUAAAACAAGAUUUUGGGGCGAAUCAGAAAUGAAUACAAGAAAUAGGACCUAAUUGGAUGCGCGAAUAACAAGGAGGGACUAAAUGAGCAAUAUUCCUCGUCCUCCAAAACGCACAAUUCCAUUAAGGACUAAAUUGUAAGCACAACAAGUUGUGGGAUAAAAUUAAAAAAAUAAAAUAAUUAAUUGAAAAUUCAUUAAAAAGCGGAAGGGAUAAAAGCGCAAAUUGCCCUUCCGCAUAAAAACACGCGGAUCCUGCAGGUUGAAUCGUGCGCGGGUCAGAGAGCAAAACGGUGUCGUUUUGGUCUCUGAACCCAAACUCCAAAACGGCACCGUUUAGUAAAUGUUAUUUAAACACAAAUUUUUUUAUUUUCAUUCUUUCUUCUUCCUCAGGAAAAAAAUUUUUGGAAAACUCUCUGAAGGCCCCCCAUGUCUUCUGACAGUCGGGCUUCUCACCUCCGCUCAUCCGUCAGCCGCACCGCCACUAAACCGACGACCGACAAAGCAUGACAAACGGCUUUUAAAGCCCGGCUUCUGGGUGCUUUGAAAAGUCGAGUCUUUGAACCCCCAUGAGCGCCGAGACAGAGGCUCAUAACUCCCCUUUUCGGAUCCGGGCCAACGAUGGAGAACCACCCACUGACGGCGCGGUCGCGAUGUAUCUCCGGUAUGCCCCUUUUUCCCUUUUUUUACUCUUUUAUUUAUUAAUAGUAUUUUAAAAAAAACAAUUCGUAAAGAAAAAUAAAAUAAAAUAAAAUAAAUAAACAAACAAAUAAAUCGACAAAGAAAAAAAUGAAGAACAAGAACAACAACCUUUUUAUUUUUUUGAUUUAUGUUGUUUUUGUAAAAAAAAUCCAGAAGAAGCAAUACGAUCGCCCUAUUCGGCCUUUUAUAGCCGAUUUAAAAAAAACUAAAUCUCUCUUCUUUUGUUGUUUUGUGCUUUGGAUUGUACGUUUGUCGUUUCUGUUUUGUUGUUUUCUUGCUGGUGUUCUGACGCGCAUGGGAAGGUGGCGUGCGCGAGGGAGCCUGGCAGAGCGUGCGGCGUUGGGGCUUGGGUAGAGGUGUGCGGCGCACCCUUAGGGAAAUUAGGGUUUGCCUAUGUGCUGGGCUUCGGGCUAGGGUUAAUUUAUUGGGUUUGGGCCACUGCUGUAAUGGACUUUUUUAUUUAUUUUUUUGGUUUAUUUUGUUUAUUUUUAUCUGUCUUGGGCCCAGGCCAAAAUUUGGGCCUUACACUAUAUUUUUCAAAAAUAUUUGUCUGCGCAUAUCCUUAUUAUACUUCAUGGUCAAAGUAUUUAAGGAAUAUAAUAAUUAAAAUUAAAAUUUUAAUAAAAUUUGUGUAUUUAAUAUUAAAAAUAAUUUCAAAUAUAUAUUUUGCGUGGAAAGUUUAGUUAAUCAGUAUUUAUAAAGUUAGCAUGAAAAAUAUAUUAACUGUAGGUUGUGUAACUAAAUCCAGAAAAUCAUUUUAAUUUUAAUUAUAUUACAUAUAGCCUUAAUUAUAUUACAGGAAUUAAAUUGUGAAAGUUCAAUCGCUAUUUAAUUUUAAUUUAAAAAACGUUUGAGGAUCCAGUUAGCAAUUAUGCAAAUGGCCUAAAAUAGUUAUGAAACCAUUGUUAUUAUAGGGAAGUUUAUGAUAAUAUCCACUUAAUUUCAUUAAUAAAGGUUAAUUAAUAAAGUAAGCAUGUUUAAUAGUUAAAAAUCUAAGUCAAUUAAUCUUUAAUUAUAACCUUAAUUAUGUAUUAAUAGGAAGGUGAGUGGAGAGAUGAUACAUUCAUCAUCCUCACCAAAUUGUGUUGUCCAAGUAGGAAGAGAAAGGAAAGGAAAACUCUUUUGCUUCUUUUACAUUUUGGUCCAAAAUCCCUGAGGUAUUUAAGUCUUUCCUUUGAAACUUUUAUGUUUUCAUGACUAUCUAAGUUUGAUUAAGUUUACCCGCGCCUUAGAUUUGUCAAUUGUUAAAUGCUUAUCAAAUAGUCAUUAAUGGGUAUUUGAUGAAAUUGAGUUUGAUUUUGAUGAUAAAUAGAAGUAUGAUUUUUUAGCAUGUUAGGACUAAGUUGAAAAUUAGAGAAACGUGCUGGAAUUGAUUAGAAAUUCAAUUAACCUAUCUAAUUGGUUUAUGACAUUUGGGAUCAAAUUGAAUAAAGUGAAAAUUGUUAGGGAAUUAUGUUAUAGAUUAAAAGUACAAGGUCCCUAAUGAAAGGAUAUGAAAUUAGAUUUUGAUUCGAUAUUAAAUAUAAAAGAAUACAAGUAUUUUGGAUAUAGGAACUAAAAUGAUAAAAAUGCAAACUAUGUUUGAUUAUAUGUUUUCAUGUGAUUGGGUGAAAACUAUUAUCGUUUCUAUGCUUGAAUUAUUGUAUGUAGCUAAAGAUGAUGUCAGAUUGUCUCAAGAGAAAGGAAAGACGAGAGUUGUAGACAAGUAGCUAAUACAGUUUGUGCUUCCAUGAUUUAAAAUCAAUACAUUUACAUAUAUUUCUAUUAAUUGUAUCAAACUAUCUUGAUUGAGGUAAUGUCAUGAAAAUGGUAAGUAUUUCAUGGUUGGCAACUUGUGAGAAAUGUGGUGAUAUGCAUGUGAUAAUACGAAAUAAUAUGAAUUAAUGGAUUGGAUUAAGCAUGAUAUAAUAUGAAAUGUUGGAUCUGGUGUCUUAAGUGCAGUAUAUUCGUUUGGUAAACUUGUAUUUUUUUGAACAAAUUGAUUUAAUAAUAUCCAUUAAUUACUUUAACACUCUUUGUAUAUUGUCCUCAAUGGUUUUUGUACACUGUUGACACCAUUUUUUUGAUGAAAACGGGAUUGACUUGGGUUUUGAAAACGAAAACGGGAGUCGCCACCAAUCCUUUUUGAUAAGGUGUGAUCGGAUCACCUUGAAAAGUGGUUGUUUUUAAUAAACGAUUUGAUUUUAUUAAAACAAUGAUUUUGGUCCACAAAAUUUAGAAAAACAGGUUCGGGAGUCGGUUACGUACGAGGAAGGAUUAACACCCUCAUAACGCCCAAAAAUUGGUACCUAGUUGAUUACUUAAUGUCUUAAUGUCGAAAAUUGAAAACUUUGAAGAAUUUUAAAAAUACGAUCCUAACAUUGAAUAAUAUGAGUUGGAAUUUAAGAUUCUCUUGUUCCGAAAGAAUAUCACAACCAGCACAUUAGGAUACGACAAGAUCACCUUAUGGUUUCUUAAACCUAUACUUUGAAACUUUAAAAGGGUAUUUGGCUAUUUGGCUAAAAGAGAAAUCGAAACCCAGCUCAUUAGGGCACGUUUUCUCGAAUUUCCAAACGCAAAAUAUUGCCUUACUUGGAAAUUUUAAAAGGAUAUUUGGCUAUUUGGUCGAACGAAAAAAUCGAAACCCAGCACAUUAGGGCACGUUUUCAAAUUUCCAAAUGCAAAAUAUUGCCUUUAUUAUUUUUUAGAAGAAUCCUCAUUUCGAUAAAACGAUGUGUCAUAUCCAAUGCGUUAGGACACAACGUAUCGAAUUCCCGAUACGAGAAUAAAUGCCGAAAAGUUUACUUACUUAAAAGAUAUUUAACUAUCUCAGAUUUUAGAAAAAGGUGUCAUGCCCAGUAAGUUAGGACACGAUCUUUUCUUAAUUCCCGAGAUCGUUUAAAAACUUGAGUUUGAAAAGAUUCGUGUAUUUAGAUUUAUUACGAAAAUCGAAACCUUGUAAGUUAGGGUACGACCUUCUCGAAUCUAAACACGAGAUUUUGCUUAUUCAAAAAUCAUAAUUUAUGCAUCGAAUAAAAUUAAUCUAACAUGAAAUAGUAGAAAUGAAACUCGAUAUUAAUACACGUAACAAGAUAAUGAAUACAAUAAUGUAAGCAUAAAUGAUACGAGCAACAACAACAAAAUAAUAAAUAAAUAAAUAAAAGAUGACAAAACAAUUAUACGUGAAACAAUAAACAACUAGGGCUAAAACAUUUCAUAAGAAUAAUGAUGAAAACAUAAAUAAAAACAUAAAUAUAAGAUAAAACAAUAGUAACAAUAAAGAAAAUAGAUAAAAAUUAUAAAAUGUAAAAAAAUAUAUAUGUACAUAGAAAGGAAAUAUAUAUGUAUGUAGAUAUAAAAUUAUGAAAAUACGAGAAAAAAUAUAUAUAUAUCUUAAAAUUAUUGAAUAUAAAAGUUUAUGCAAGUAUGUAUAUACACGUUUAUGUAUAUAAAGUUUAUAAAAAAAAUAUAAGUAUAUAUAUAUAUAUAUAUUCAUAAAAAAUGUAUAUAAAUAUAUAUAAAUAUAGAUAUAUAUGUAUAGAUUAUAAAAUGUAUAUAAACAUGCGUGUGUAUGUACAUAUUAGAGGUGCUCAUGGGCCAGGCGGCCCGGCUUGGCCCGACGGCCCGCCCGAAAUAUGGGAGGGUUUGGGUAAAAAUAUAGGCCCGAAAUAUGGGCUUGGGCAAAAAAAUGAGGCCCGUUUAGAAAAUGGGCCGGACCUCGGGCACCACUUUUUUGGCCCGGGCCUGCCCGGCCCGGCCCGAUAUAAUAAAUUUAUUUAUUUUUUUAAUUUUAAAAUAUUUUUAAAAUACUUUUUUUAAUUUUUUUAAAUUUUAAAAUAUUUUUAAAAUACUUUUAAAAUACUUUUUUUAAAUUUUUUUAAUUUUAAAAUAUUUUAAAAUACUUUUUUUAAGUUUUAAAAUAAAUUUUUAAUAUUUAUUAAAAAAUGGGCCGGGCCGGGUCGGGCCCGGACUUAUGAUUUUUUCCCGGGCUGGGCCUGGGUAAAAUUUCAGGCCCAUAUUUCGGGCCGGGCCGGGCCUGGACCUAGGACCCGGGCCGAAAUUUUUUUUAUGGGCCCGGCCCGAACCCGGCCCGACCCGUCCCAUGAGCACCUCUAGUACAUAUUAAAUAAAAAAACGUGUACAUAUAUUAUGAAAAUGUAUAUAUAUAGAUAUAAAAAUAAAGCUAAAAAUAUAUAUAUUACUAAUUAAGGUAUUAAAUAUAAUAGUAACAAAUAAAUAAAAGAAAAAUAAAAUUAAUAAUAAUUAAUAAUAGUAACGAUAAUAAUAAUAAUAAGGUUAAAUAAUAAAAAUGCUAAAAAAACACUGACUAAAUUAAAAUAAAACGAAAAUACAUGGCUGAUUUGAAAGUAAAAAAGACGAAAAGGAUCAAAUUGUGACACGCACAAAAAGGGAGGGACCAAAACAAUAAAUAGACCGAAUUCCCAAAACGCGGUGCUACAGUGGACUAAAUUGAAACGAAAACAAAACUGCGCGUCUAAAUUAAAAAAAAGAAAAGAAAGAAAAAAAAGGGGAAAAUUGCAACACGCCGUAAAAUCGGAGGGACUGCACGCGUAAAUAUCCUAAAAGUCAAAAACACGUGGAUCCUCCGGGUCGGGUCGGGUCGGGUCGGGUCGACGCGCGGAUCCCCUCACCAAAACGGUGCUGUUUCAUUCCUUUAUAAAAGUCAGAUUUUUUAUAUAUUUUUUUAUUUCUGCUACUUUUUUCUAAAAAGUUUUCAAACCCUUUUUUUUUUCUCUCAACCCUUCCCUCAUCUCCCCAGAAUCCGGCCGUCGAUCCGGCCAUGGGCCACUGUGCCGGUCGCCGACGCCGGUGCCGACGUGUACGACGGCAAGGAGACCAAAAGUCUCCCCUUUUUCGCUGAAUCGUCUCUCCUCGGCCUCCUAAGCGUCUCGGCGUCGAUAAAAAAGGGUAAAAAUGCCUCCCUUCUUCUUUUAUUUUGUACUUCGAAUAAAAAUAAAAAUAAAAACAAAACAAAAAUAAAAAGAAGAGUAACCUUUUAUUGCUUUUUUAAUCUUUGUUCUUCCUUUUUUUUGAAUAGAUUUCUCUUUUUUUUUUCAAAAGAAGAACCCUUUUACAAUUUGUUUUUGGGCUAUUUAUAGCCGAUUCUGUUUUUGUUUCCUUUUUCUAUUUAUGCUUGCGUGUUCUUCUUUCUCUUGCAGGUGGAGCAGGUGCAAGUGGGGUGAUGGGACGUGCGACGCGGCAGUGGCAGAGCUAGGGCGGCGGCAGUUGGGUCUGAAUACCCUAGGUGCGGCGCCUAGGGUUCUUUUGUUUCUGCUAGGGUUUUUUUCUUUUUUUUUUCUUUUGGAUUUGGGCCAUUUGGGUUUUGGGCUUAGGUUAGGUUUAAUUGGGGUUUGGUCUGUUUAUUUUCUGUUUUGGUUGUAUUUGGGCUAGUUGGGCCUCGGGCAAAAAAUUGGGCUUGUACAACUGCCCCUCUUUGCUCGUUGUCGUGUAACGAGAACAGAGCAAAGACCUAAAAAGACCAAUAUUUUGCCCGGUCUCGCCGAGUCUUGACUUCUCUUGACGUUUCUCUUCUUCAAGUAGCUCCGUUUCAAUCCACUACGUCUUGUUGCUUCAAUCCACUCUACUGUAGCAAUAACUUUAGGGGGACGAGGUUUGUGGUUUUAGUCUGCUCCACUUGGGAAGAUAAGAUUCACCAUCUUUGAUCUGCUCCACUACUGCUUAGGGAGACAGAAUCUGCAAGGGAGACAGAAUCUGCAAUCUUUAACCUACUCCACUACUGCUUAGGGAGAUAGGACUAAUGGCUUAAAUCUACUUCACCACUAUCUCGGGAAGAUAAGAUUCACCAUCUUUGAUCUGCUCCACUACUACUUAGGGAGACAGAAUCCUACUCCACUACUGCUUAGGGAGAUAGGACUGAUGGCUUAAAUCUGCUUCUCCACUAUCUUGGGAAGAGAAGAUUCACGAUCUUCGAUCUGCUCCACUACUACUUAGGGAGACAAAAUCUACAAUCUUCAACCUACUCCACUACUGCUUAGGGAGAUAGGACAAAUGACUUAAAUCUGCUUCUCCACUAUCUUGGGAAGAUAAGAUUCACCAUCUUCGAUCUGCUCCACUACUGCUUAGGGAGACAGAAUCUUCAAUUUUCAACCUACUCCACUACUGCUUAGGGAGAUAAGACUAAUGGCUUAAAUCUGCUUCUCCACUAUCUUGGGAAGAUAAGAUUCACCAUCUUCGAUCUGCUUCACUACUGCUUAGGGGGAUAGAAUCUGCAAUCUUCAACCUACUCCACUACUACUUAGGGAGAUAGGAUCUGUAAUCUUUAAUCUGCUUUGCUGCAAACUAUGAUGUCUUCGAUCUACUUCACUGUCAGUACAGGAAGGCAAGAUCUGCUAUCUUCAGUCUGAUGGUGUCUUUGAUCUACUUCGUCGUCAGUACAGGAAGGCAGGGCUGGUGUCUUCGAUCUGCUUCGCCGUCAGUACAGGAAGGCAAGAUCUGCUAUCUUUAGUCUGCUCUGCUGUCAGUACAGGAAGGUAAGGCUGGUGUCUUCGAUCUGCUUCGCCGUCAAUACAGGAAGGCAAGAUCUGCUAUCUUCAGUUUGCUCCGCUGUCAGUACGGGAAGGCAAGGCUGGUGUCUUCGAUAUGCUUCGCUGUCAGUAUAGGAAGGAAAAAUCUGCUAUUUUCAGUCUGCUCCGCUGUCAGUACAGGAAGGCAAGGCUGGUGUCUUCGAUCUACUUCGCAGUCAGUACAGGAAGGCAAGAUCUGCUAUCUUCAGUCUGCUCCGUUGUCAGUACAGGAAGGCAAGGCUGGUGUCUUCGACAUGCUUCGCUGUCAAUAUAGGAAGGUAAAAUCUGCUAUUUUAAAUUUGCUCCGCUGUCAGUACAGGAAGGCAAGGUUGGUUUCUUCGAUCUGCUUCACCGUCAGUACAGGAAGGCAAGAUCUGCUAUCUUCAGUCUGCUCCGCUGUCAGUACAGGAAGGCAAGGCUGGUUUCUUCGAUCUGCUUCACCGUUAGUACAGGAAAGCAAGAUCUGCUAUCUUCAGUCUGUUCCGCUGUCAGUACAGGAAGGCAAGGCGGGUUUCUUCGAUCUGCUUCACCGUCAGUACAGGAAGGCAAGAUCUGCUAUAUUUAGUCUGCUCCGCUGUCAGUACAGGAAGGCAAGGUUGGUGUCUCCGAUCUGCUUCGCUGCCAGUAUAGGAAGGCAUGAUUUGCUAUCUUUAGUCUACUUCGCUGUCAGUACAGGAAGGCAAGACUGGUUUCUUCGAUCUGCUUCGCCGUUAGUACAGGGAGGCAUGAUCUGCUAUCCUUAGUCUGCUUCGCUGUCAGUAUAAGAAGGCAAGACUGGCUUCUUCGAUCUGCUUCACUGUCAGUACAGGAAGGCAUGAUCUACUAUCUUUAGUCUGCUUCGCUGUCAAUAUAGGAAGGCAAGACUGGUUUCUUUGAUCUGCUUCGCCAUCAGUACAGGAAGGCAUGAUCUGCUAUCUUCAGUCUGCUCCGCUGUCAGUACAGGAAGGUAAGACUAGUUUCUUCGAUCUGCUUCGCCGUCAGUACAGGAAGGCAAGAUCUGCAAUCUUCAUUGAUCUGUGCUCUGGGGAAAACCACCUGUAUAUUCUAUUUUAUGAACCUAAUUGUGCCUAGUGGUUAGGAUGACAUGAUCAGAAUGAAUCAAAUGCUCCUAAUUAGACACGUAUGAAUGACAUUUGAAUGAAUGCAAUGAGAAUGAUCCCUUUUUAAUGCUUGAGUUAUCAUUACUCAAAGUUUAUUAAGGUUUUAUCACUACCGUGCUACAACGCCUUCUUGCUUGGCUGGUGUAUCCAAAGAAACACUUUAUCUGAUUGCCCCCAUUGUGAACGUCAGAGUUCAAUCCACUAGGACGCAAAAUUUGUACCAUCAUUCUCCCACUGUGAUCCAAGGGUAGAAAAAUAUGGCUUUUCUCAAUCAUCUCCUAUCGCAAUUCAAGGAUACAGAAUGUGAAGCUCUUUGGUCUUUUACCCCAUUCCCAGGGUGUUAUACCAAAUGCUCAUGCACAAUUGCAAAAGUUUCUUCUCCGAGAAAACCUUUUCUUAUCACUCGGUGAUUAUUGCUUGUUUAUUCAUUGAAGCCUUGUCAUCAACACAACAUUUUGUCAUUUUGUUCAAUCAAUGUUUGGAUAACAAAAUCUGAAAGGAUAGUCUUAACUUAGACUCUUCCUUCUUAGAAAUUUCAACCUUUAAACUUGGUGUGUUCUAAACAAUAUCCUGUUUCAGGUUCCUAUAUUAUUUAGAAACUUCUAGGGUAAUAUGCAAAACUUCCCUUGUGAAAGUAUUAUUAGUCCAUUAAUCAUUAUUCCAAUGCAACAUGCUUGCAAAAGAUCAUAUCGAUAGAUAAAACAAAAUUGAUUUGGGAGCCUAGCUCAAAAUAAAUUAUCAAGGAUAGCAAGAAUAAAAGAGGAAUUGAUUGGAACACGUAUCUUGAAAAAGAAUAAAGUAUUCCAAGAACAACAAAUUCAAUAUAAAGGUUAGGUGCCCCAGAUAUCGCAUCUUAAACUUCUCUGUACAAACUUUUUGAAGACCUUUCUGAGUUUGACAUGUGUUUAGGAGAUCUACAGGACUUUGUCGAUGCCCCAAGAUGUUGCCUACCCUUUCCUGUUGAUUCAGGUAUAACAAGAUCACCACAUGCCCCAAUUUGGUUAAAAUUUGAGCUGCUCUGAUCACCUCAUGCCCCAUUUGAUCCAAAACUUGAAUCGCCCUUUUCGGGUUUUCAACUCAAAUCCCCUUUGGUCUCAAGGCGCCCUUUGCGGGUUUUCACAUUGGCCUCUCCUUUUUUUUUCUUUUUCUUUUUUUCCCUCUUUUUUUCUUUUUUUAAUUUGAACUCAUUGUAUUAGGUAUGUCAUCGUUAUCCCUUCCGAUCAAGAUUGACGCUUUUCCAGAUAAGGCCUUCCCCAUAAGGUUCUUCCCAUCUUGGCAUGAAGUUCUUUUUGUGUGGGAAGGAUCUUCUUCGAUACCAAGUACCCCUCAUGGAACUUUAUAGGGCAAACUUUUUUGUGAGCUCGCAUCAUUUGCUUUUGGCGCAUUUGACCAUGAUGGACAACUUUGAACAUUCCUCUUCAAUCGGGAUUGGAUCCAAAAACUCAGAGAGAAAGAAUCUCAUCUUCAAUAGGCGAAACCGCGAUAGGCCCAAGAGAACGGCAUUGCCCCCGCAGAGUUUUUUUUUAAUGCUCUGUUCACCUUUGGGCAACAUAGUGUUAAUUUUGAACAUACUGCCAACUUCUGAUAUCAUGCUCUUGUUCAAAUUUGGUGCAUUGUUAGAUAUGAUCCUUUUGGCAUUCCAUAUUGACAUAUGAUUUUUUUUGAGAAUUUGUUGACUGUCAACUUUCUGAUGUUGGCAUAUGAAGCGGCUUCUACCCGCGAAGAUAAAUCAAUGACCGCCAAAGUCUUCUAUCUAGAUCGUCCCAAUAGCCUUCAUGCCCCACAUAGGGAGGAGCCAUGGACUCCAUUGAUUUUUUGUAUGGUGGAAUCUAUUUUUCACCUUGUUUUAUCAUCCUUAACAAGUUCAGAGAUAAGCUAUAAUCUAUGUCAUCUUCAAAGUCAUGAGAUCCCUCUAAACACAUGUCUCGCUCAAAACGAGAUUCUGAGUCUGUAGCAGCGUCACUCAUGUCGUUGAUAUCUGGGGACCUAUUGUAAGUACAAGAGAAUAUACAAAGAAUGUAUGAAUUUAAGAAUAAUUAUUUGUACAGUAUGAUUAUGAAUGAAUGAAAGAAUGAUUUGGAAGAAAGAAUGAAAGAAUAAUUAUUCAUAAAAGGAUGAAAGAAUAUUAGCUCAAAAAUGAUCGCAAAGAUAUAUUUCAUUAAAAUAACGACGUUCAGAUAUGAGCCUAUUUCACAAAGGAAUUCUUAUCGCCUCUAGGCUGAAAGCAACAAGUGUGUUCUGGACAUUACUCUAAAUAAACUCUAAAUACUACAAAGAUUUCUUCUGCAGUCCGAUUAUUUAGAACACUCCCAAGUUUAUAAGGGCGGAUAUCUAACAAGGUCCCUUUUCAAUUGUCUUCAUGUAUGACAUUGAUAUGACCAUUUUUUUGACCCCUUCAUAGAACUCUAUCUUGUUGGACCUUAGCUAACCGCUCUUGUAUUUGCAGUCAUAGUUGGUCUUGCCUCCCCCUUUGGAGUCGUUCAAGUUUUCAAUCUUUGGUCCAUGUUUUUUUGUUCGGAUACCGUAAUGAUGCUAAGUCGAUAGACUUUUUUUCGGUUCCCAGGUUAACUGAAAUAAUUUUACUCAAUUAGGGUCUUUUAAUGGUCCCUAAUGCACAUGAUGCUAUGUAAUGCAAAUGCAUGAAAUGAAUGCAAAAAGAGACAUUGAUUCUUGGUUCAAUUCUAUUAGAACAACUUUACUAGAAAACAAAUCUCUUUACAUAAAGCAGAUAUAUAUACGGCUUUGCCCUCAUAGGCGGAGACAUUCGAUCCUCUUUUUCAUUCAAGCGUUAAGAUAAAUCUCAGGAACUCUUCAAAAGGGACGUCUCUUCUAUCUCUUUUUUGCUUAAUCCAAGCCAUGACUCGUUGCUCGCUCAUCCUUGUGAUGCUCAUUGGCUUCUCUUUAAGAAAGUUCAGCGGCUCUCGAAUAAUCUUUGUCUUCUUGAAUCCUCGGGCAACGGAGCAAUAGUCGUGUAGUCCUCUAUUAAACUAUCAUCAUUCUCUUAUCACGUUUUCUUGGACCAUAUUCGGAUAACCGUAUCGUCAUCCACUUUAUCAAGAAACCUAUUGUCUUAUGACAAGCUCUCUAUUUAGCAACCGAACGUGAAUCAACACCUCUUUUUAUGAUGAAAAUGCAAUGCAAUCAUAACAAAAAAGAAAACAUGUUAGUACAAAGAAAAAGCAAGCAAGAAUAAAGAGAACACCUAUUCGGGUGAAUACUAGGGGUUCGAAGUGGUUCUACCUAGGGUGGGCUCCUAAAGUUCGCCACAUGAGGUUUGGUUCUAAAGUAAAGGUACCCGAGCCAGCAGAUUCCUCGAUCUUCACCCAUUAUAGGCUCACAUUUCCCUAGUUCGGUUCAGGGGAAUACAUUUCCCUAUGGCUGCACGGAGAUGAAAAUCUCACGAAGACAUAGGUACAGAUGUAUCCCGAAAGCGAUCCACUAUCCUGCACGGAGGCGAAAACCUCACGAAGGAGUAGCUUCUCACUCCCACUUAAAAGGGUGUGACCAACGGUCAUGCAAUGCAAUGUGCAGAGAUGUAAAAAUUUAAAAUACAAAACAUGAUGAAAACUAUAAAACAUGAUGAAAACUAUAACUCAAAACAAAUGCAAUGAGAGGAUUGUAUAUUUAAAUCAAGUUUUUUAAUUUUUGACAAAAAGACAAAAAAUAAUCAUCUCGUGGCUUGACUCUCUUAUUUUAUGUCCCCAGUGGAGUCGCCAAGCUGUUGACACCAUUUUUUUGAUGAAAACGGGAUCAACUUGGGUUUUGAAAACAAAAACGGGAGUCUCCACCAAUCCUUUUUGAUAAGGUGUGAUCAGAUCACCUUGAAAAGUGGUUAUUUUUAAUAAACGAUUCGAUUUUAUUAAAACAACGAUUUUGGUCCACAAAAUUCAGAAAAACGGGUUCGGGAGUCGGUUACGUACGAGGAAGGAUUAGCACCCUCGUAACGCCGAAAAAUUGGUACCUAGUUGAUUAGUUAAUGUCUUAAUGUCGAAAAUUGAAAACUUUGAAGAAUUUAAAAAAUACGAUCCUAAAAAAUUUUGAAUAAUAUGAGUUGGAAUUUAAGAUUCUCUUGUUCCGAAAGAAUAUCACAUCCAGCACAUUAGGAUACGAUAUUUUAAACUCUCGAAACCAAGAUCACCUUAUGGUUUCCAAAACCUAUACUUUGAAACUUUAAAAGGGUAUUUGGCUAUUUGGCUAAAAGAGAAAUCGAAACCCAGCUCAUUAGGGCACGUUUUCUCAAAUUUCCAAACGUAAAAUAUUGCCUUACUUUGAAAUUUUAAAAGGAUAUUUGGCUAUUUGGUCGAACGAAAAAUCGAAACCCAGCACAUUAGGGCACGUUUUCAAAUUUCCAAAUGCAAAAUAUUGCCUUUAUUAUUUUUUAGAAAAAUCCUCAUUUUGAGAAAAUGACGUGUCAUAUCCAAUGCGUUAGGACACAACGUAUCGAAUUCCCGAUACGAGAAUAAAUGCCGAAAAGUUUACUUAUUUAAAAGAUAUUUAACUAUCUCGGAUUUUAGAAAAGGGUGCCAUGCUCAGUAAGUUAGGACACGAUCUUUUCUUAAUUCCCGAUAUCGUUUAAAAACUUGAGUUUGAAAAGAUUCAUGUAUUUAGAUUUAUUACGAAAAUCGAAACCCAGUAAGUUAGGGUACGACCUUCUCGAAUCUAAACACGAGAUUUUGCUUAUUCAAAAAUCAUAAUUUAUGCAUCGAAUAAAAUUAAUCUAACAUGAAAUAGUAGAAAUGAAACUCGAUAUUAAUACACGUAACAAGAUAAUGAAUACAAUAAUGUAAGCAUAAAUGAUACGAGCAACAACAACAAAAUAAUAAAUAAAUAAAUAAAAGAUGACAAAACAAUUAUACGUGAAACAAUAAACAACUUGGGCUAAAACAUUUCAUAAGAAUAAUGAGGAAAACAUAAAUAAAAACAUAAAUAUAAGAUAAAACAAUAAUAACAAUAAAGAAAAUAGAUAAAAAUUAUAAAAUGUAAAAAAUAUAUAUGUACAUAUAAAGGAAAUAUAUAUGUAUGUAGAUACAUAAAAUUAUGACAAUACGAGAAAUAUAUAUAUAUAUCUCUUAAAAUUAUUGAAUAUAAAAGUUUAUGCAAGUAUGCAUAUACAGGUUUAUGUAUAUAAAGUUUAUAAAAAAAACAUAUAAGUAUAUAUAUAUUCGAAAAAAAUGUAUAUAAAUAUAAAUAUAAAUAUAGAUAUAUAUGUAUAGAUUAUAAAAUGUAUAUAAACAUGCGUGUGUAUGUACAUAUUAAAUAAAAAACGUGUACAUAUAUUAUGAAAAUGUAUAUAUAUAUAUAGAUAUAAAAAUAAAGCUAAAUAUAUAUAUAUUACUAAUUAAUGUAUUAAAUAUAAUAGUAACAAAUAAAUAAAAGGAAAAUAAAAUUAAUAAUAAUUAAUAAUAGUAACGAUAAUAAUAAGGUUAAAAAAUAAAAAUGCUAAAAAAACACUGACUAAAUUAAAAUAAAACAAAAAUACAGGGUUGAUUUGAAAGUAAAAAAGACGAAUAGGAUCAAAUUGCGACACGCGCAAAAAGGGAGGGACCAAAACAAUAAAUAGACCGAAUUCCCAAAACGCGGCGCUGCAGUGGACUAAUUUGAAACAAAAAUAAAACUGCGCGUCUAAAUUAAAAAAAAGAAAAGAAAGAAAAAAAGCGGCAAAUUGCAACACGCCGCAAAAUCGGAGGGACUGUGCGCGUAAAUAUCCCAAAAGUCAAAAACACGAGGAUCCUCCGGGUCGGGUCGGGUCGACGCGCGGAUCCCUUCACCAAAACGGCGUCGUUUCAUUCCUUUAUAAAAGUCAAAUUUUUUUAUAUAUUUUUUAUUUCUGCCACUUUUUUUUUAAAAAGUUUUCAAACCCUUUUUUUUUCUCUCAACCCUUCCCUCAUCUCCCCAGAAUUCGACCGUCAAUCCGGCCAUGGGCCACCGUGCCGGUCGCCGACGCCGGCACUACCGUGUACGGCGGCAGGGAAACCAAAAGUCUACCCUUUUUCGCCGAAUUGUCUCUCCUAGGCCUCCUGAGCGCCUCGGCGUCGAUAAAAAAGGGUAAAAAUGCCUCCUUUCUUGCUUUAUUUUAUACUUCAGAAAAAAAUAAAAAUAAAAAUAAAAAUGAAACAAAAAUAAAACGAAGAGUAACCUUUUAUUACUUUUUUAAUCUUUGUUCUGCCUUCUUUUUUUUUUUGAAUAGAUUUCUCUUUUUUUUUUCCAAAAGAAGAACCCUUUUACAAUUUGUUUUUGGGCUAUUUAUAGCCGAUUCUGUUUUUGUUUCUUUUUCUAUUUAUGCUUGCGUGUUCUUCUUUCUCUUGCAGGUGGAGCAGGUGCAAGUGGGGUGAUGAGACGUGUGGCGCGGCGGUGGCAGAGCUAGGGCGGCGGCAGUUGGGUCUAAAUACCCUAGGUGCGGCGCCUAGGGUUCUUUUGUUUCUGCUAGGGUUUUUUUUCUUUUUUCUUUUGUUUUGGAUUUGGGCCAUUUGGGUUUUGGGCUUAGGUUAGGUUUAAUUAGGGUUUGGUCUGUUUAUUUUCUGUUUUGGUUGUAUUUGGGCUAGUUGGGCCUCGGGCAAAAAAUUGGGCUUGUACAUACACAAAGCAAAAUGGAAGAAAAUAUUAGAUCACUGAUUACCUAACGUUUAACUAAUACUAAGCAGCAUUAUGUGGUCGGAUUGUAAUGAGGAAAGACGACUUGUAUUAGUAGAUCAUAAACCUAAACAUGCCCUUAGUCUAAUCGGAAAUGAGAAAACCAAUUGAAAGAUUUAUAUGUCAUAUAUGAAGUCCAAUUAGGGCUAAUCAAUGACUAAUAAAUUUAAUUUUCACUUCGAACUUCAAUUAUUUAAUUUCAAUAAAUUAAAUAAUAAUUCAAAACAAUUAAUUCAAUUUUCUACAUGCAAUCUAUUUUGGGUUAUACUGAAUUAGCAGAGGAACCAAUUGAACAUAUAUAAUUAGGGCUCAAAUAAUUUUUAAUUUAGUUUCAUCUAUUCACCUAUUAAUUACAACAUUAUUUAAUUAUAAAGUCAUUUCACUAAAGUAUCAUGAUUGAACCCUUCCCUAUUAUAUAGCAUCACGAAAGUAACUUAAUAAAUGCUUGUACAAUGACCUUAUUAUGAGUGUGUUACCCUCGUAGGUUAUCUAUUAUCUUUUUGGUUAAUUUCUUUCAAGUAAUAUGAUCCUAUUUUAUCUCAUGGUAAUUACUAUUUCAUCUUCCCUCAUGAAACAGUCAAUUAAAUCAUUUGUUCCAGACAAAUGAUCUAAGACCAUGUUACAUUUUCAUCUAUCAUGUAAUAAUGUCAAAGAGAAGAUAUCAUUUACCUUUUGUAGGACUAUGAAUUCCACCAUAAUAAAUGAAGCUAUGUCAUGCAGAAGUCAAAUACACUACAUACCGGCUUUUGGUUCUUUAGUUGUUUUGAACUCAGACAUUCAAUACAUUAAAGCAUACGAGUCAAGCAUACAUAGUAACUUACUCAGGGUUAAGGUAAGUCACACUACGAACAUUACAAGUAAAUUAAUCCUCAAACAAAUCUACGAUUAAUUCGACUUGUAUCUUGUCUAAUGUAUUAUCAAUCCAGACAAUAACAUCUAUGUUCGUAUCUUUUGGGAGUCAUUUGCUUUGAUACGCAAGACAAUGUAUCUCUCUAAUUGGAUUUGAUAGACGACAGAAUAGUCCUUUAAUCAAUUUGCUAAAUUUCGAUACAGUAAAUGAUGGAUCUUUUAGAUCGCCUACUAAUAUAAGUUGUUUUCUCACAUUAUGACUUGAUGACGUAAUACAACUUAGUAUAAGUUAAACACUAUGUAAUUAGUGAGUCAAUAUUUACUAUAUUCAAAAUUUACCAUUUUCUUUUGGGAAAUCAUUUUAGUCUAUUUUAAUUAGUUUAGAAUUAACAUUUAAUAUCUCUCUCUCUCUUGGGCAGAACAAUAAAAUAUAUAAUAUGAGCUUAAUAUAGUUCAUUAGAGUAUACUUAGGCUCCUUUGGAUUGGUGGUGACAUUCGCUUGAAUGGGAUUAAAACUAGUGGUUCAUGUACUAAAAUGCCUCUUUAUAACUCAAAAUAAAUUAAAAUUAAUAAAUUUUAUUUUUAUAUAUUUAAAUUUUUAUUUAUUAACAACCAUAUGUUAAUUAAAAACAUCGUUAUAUGAUGGAAUUCGCUGGUUGAUGUUAGACUCAUCACAUUUGCUGCAGUGAGUGGCGAGAUUCAACAUGAUAUGAUCGUCAAGUCCACUGGAUGAGGUCGCAUAUUGGCAACCUUGCUCCUUUCUGUCAUCCGGUGUGAGUGAGCUUUGGUCAACAAAGUGAUCUUAGAGUUAAAUAGAAAUGUCAAUUGCUAAACAACAUCUUCGAAACAAGAGUAUUUUUAUUUGUCUUUUUAUUCCAUUUCGAGUUAAGAUUUUUGAGAAAACUAAAAGUGAAAAUUUGUAUGAAAAGAAAGAAAUUGUAGUAAGCUGAAAAGUUAUAUGGUUGGAAAUUAGGAAGUUUAACUUUUCAUAAUUGUGAUUUAUCUUUUGUUAAAUUUAACCAAAGCCUCAUCUUAAUUUAUUUGAAAUAUCAGUUUAUCCCAAAUAUUUAACUGAGUCUGGAAUUAAGUUCGAAGGGUUGAUUUAAGGUAUAAUAUCAAAUUUAGUCUUCAACAUUUAAAUAUUGUCAUUUUGGCCCUUAUUCUAUUUUUUAGCUCUAUUUGACCGUUAACCUUUUAAAAAGCGUCAAAUCGUUUUUGUUUUAUAUGCUAUGUCAACUAAUAGUUUUAUUUUUUUAAAAACAAUAAUAAUAAAAUUUAUAAAAAUAUUCAUAAAAACUCAAAAAAAUAGCAUGACGUACAUGUGAAUUACCAUGCGGGCUAUGAUAUUUAAGAAGUUCACGUUUUAAUUAAUAUUUUCAUUAAAAAUUAAUUAUUCAACUCAUUUAAAAAGGUUGGCUCCUUUUGGUUAAAAAGUUGAGGCUCAAUUUUAAGUAAAAAAAAAAAGAAGAAAAACCAAAUUGAGUUUGAUAGCUAAAUUUGAUAUUAUACUUCGAUAUAUUAGAGGCUUAAGUAUCUCUGAACCCAGAUUUAUCGAAUCAGACAAAAUUUGGAAUCAAUGAAAAUAAUAAAGCUUUUCUCUCUAACUUUAUUCAAACUUUGGCCGAGAGAAUUUCCAGUUUAGAUGUUGGUGAUCUAAAUCAUUUCUUGGGAAUUGAAGUCAUUCCAACAUCUCAAGUUUUAUUCGUCUGAAUAUAUUAGUUAUGAUAUAUUGAGCAAAGUAAACAUGUCGAAUACUCAAACGCGAAGGAAUCAAACACACCGGUUUCCACUUUAGUUUCUUUAAGUUUUCAUGAUGGCUUUGCUGUAGUCGAGGCCAAAGAGUCCAGAAAACUUGUUGCUUCGUUGUAAUUGUUUCCUUGUAAACAAACUUUUCAAAUUUUUGCAUAAACCAAUCUCUAUUAGAGAUGAAGAUAAAUUUUUGUAGCUAAGAAUUUAAUCUUUAUUUGUAAUAUAAUGAUAAAAUACAAUGAUCAAGUAUGAGAAUUUAAACUUUUAAUCAGAUGAAGAUAUAUAUCUCAUACAUUUAUUCUAAUCAAGCGUGACAGAAUGAUAUGACUUUUUCACAAUCUGUAGAUAACAUCUUAGUAAUGAAUUACAGUAACGUUAAAUUCAAUGAUGACAUUGGUGGCAUUUAUAAGGAUAGGGUUAAAUAGUGCAACCCCUGUUGCCAUCAUGAAUCGUCCUCUUCCUCCGACCACCGCAAGCCCAGGUUCUCCCCUUGAAAAUACGCUUAGAGAGCUGCCGUUAAACUUACCGGUAUUGAAUCCAAAAUCUAUGUAUUGCGUGCUUGAUGCAUUCGUUCCAGCCAGGAGCGCAAUACCCUGAACAUUUCCAAUCAGCUCCGAGUCAGGCUCAGGACCAGUCCUGAGGGGAUCAUUAACGGCAACUAGGGAGGCAAAUGGCACUGAUGAAUUAUUGUCGCUGCUUGUGAUGUUAACUUGGGCUACCUGGACUGCUGUAAUACCCGUAAAUUCG
rnacentral:lncRNA from 1 species